GCUGGGAAGGCGCGGUUGGCUGAAUUUGCUGCUCGCCGACCUGCGCAACCAUAAAAAGUAAUGUGUGCGCGCCGUGCGUCUAAAGAGAAGGUGCACGCUCCCUGAGUCCAGUAGUUCGGUUACAUGCCGAACGAGGUACUUCUUGAUAAGUCUCCUUCAACGUGAAGGACUUGUAUCCUACGAAAGCAUCUCCAAAUAAGAUGGACGAUGGCCUCUUGGGCACAGGAGAACCGGGUGGUUGCAAAAGACAGUUUAUUCCAUGGUUUCGUUUCGUGUUUGUUUUAGUAUCAAUGGUUCAGUUUACUGAAGGAGGGGGAGCUAACAGGCAAGUGAUAUCUGAGAAUACACAUAAAUAUAGUCUAUGACAUGAUGAAAAUAUACAUCACUUUUUUGAUGCUAUUAUAUUGUUUGUACCCUGUUUCCCUAUGACAAAUGCAAGCUCCUUGGAGGCAGGAACUUGGGUCCUAGAGUUGAUGGAGUCUCCCCACAGUAACUAACGUUCCCUUGUAAUUUGAAAGUGUAAUGAGUGUAAAUUCAAAGACUGAUGAGUCUUUGGGAAUGUCAGUCCCUCCCUUUGGCUUAUUUCUCAUAGAUAGAUAAGCCACCUUGCAAAAAGGGCAGCAUGUAGAAGACAAUUCAAAGGCUACAUCACGAACAGGUAAACUUGUAUGCUUCUUACUUAAAUACCCUGAAUAGAAUUAAAUUUUAGAGUUGACUUUAAAAAUGGUAUUAAUCUUUCUGUUUUUCAGUUAGCAUUUCUCCCUCUCCCCUUCCCCCCCAAAAUUAUUACUCAGAACUCAUUAUCAGUAAUAAAUACAUAGAAUAUCCUUACAUACAGCUGUUCCAUCCCUUCUUUCUCACCAUAUUUCAAAGGGAAAGUGCUGUAAAUCGUGCGUACCUUUCUCCACUUGGAAGAAGUCAUCGUGUUCACGCAGAGGAGAGUAUGCAACACAACAUAAAGAUCAGGAACUGAAGAAGGACCUCUGGUGGCUGCGACUGUUAAGUGCGCACCUGCUCACCAAAAGAGACUCCAGGAACUAAAGUUUAGGAGCCAGUCAAGGCAGGACAUCUCUCACGAAAUUCACCUUUCAGCCUCCUUUUCUUCUUUGCUCUCUACAGAGGGUGCUUCAGGUAAGAACCUGGCCAUACUGUUUCCCUGAAGUAAAGGAUGAAAUCCCAAUCCCCAGUAUGGUCUACCAUAUUCCCCAUGUCUGGGUCCUGAGCUGUUUCAGUAACCUUGUCUCUCUCUCUCUCUCUGCUGUCUGUUCCAUUUCUCUAGAAUGUCUUCCUUCCCUGGGGGUCAGAAAAACUGGAAUUUUUUAAGAUUCAGCUCAGAUGCCACCUUUUGUAUGACGCUUUCCCCAAGGUAGAAUAGACUAAUCUUUUUGCCACUUCUCUAAACCUAAACAAGCUCUGUUUGUUUUAUUGCAUACAUGCAUUUAUUGCAUUUACUUCAGUGAGAUCCCUGAAGGCAAGGACUGGUCAAGCAUCAUUACAGGUUACGCAGCUACUAGAUCUCAGCAUCGUAACCAGGGGCAGAUUAUCCAAUAGACAAAGUAAACAAGGUGCUUACCUUGCUUACCAGAUCACUUGUAGUAAGCAAUUUCAUUGUAGUGAAAUUGUUCACUACAGAUUAGUAAAUAAGCACAAAUAAGCCUGUGCUUGCUUGUGCAUACUGGGUAAUCCACCCCUGUCAGGGACUGUAAAUUUGAAAAGUGGCUUUGAUUCUGUAGGAAGGUGCAGUGGGGUUGGAAGAGAGACAGAUACCAGCCAUACCUAGAAGCAGAAUCUUUGAUGUGGUAAAAAAAGAAAAAAGUGAAAUUGUUCACUACCGAUGCUUUGGUAAGUGAGGUAAACGCUAUGCUUACCUUACCUAUUAGAUGAUCCGCCCCUGAUUGGAACCCGGUAUUUGUAACAAUGGUGACCAAACCAGACCAAGACUCUUCGUCAGAAAACAGAUGUUCAUCAAAUCACAUCAUAAAGGAAAAGCACAGGGAAAGAUGAAAGCAUUGAGCAAGGAAGCCAAAUAGAUUGUGGGAAGUUCGGGUGGGAGGCAACCUUGGGAGUCAGGAAAGGCCCCCUUGAGUGUUGCUAUGGAUUGAAUCGUGUCCCCCAAAAAUAUGUGCUGGAAUUCCAGCCUUUAUACCUGUGGAUGUGAUCCUGUUUGGAAUUAAGGUUUUCUUUGUUAUGUUAGUUAGAUCAUACAGGAGUAGGCUUGGUUCUAGAUGUAAUCACUUCUGGCUUAUGAAAAGAGCAGAUUAGACAGGAAGACGGGCACGGCAGAGCCAACAAACCAGGGAACACCGACGAGGAAGGAAUCAGCUCAGCAGCCGAGACCGUGAUUUGGGCUUUUAGCCUUCAGAACUGUGAGAAAAUAAAUUUCUGUUUCUGUUACAGCAGCACUAGCUAACUAAAACACGCACGGAGAUUUGUGUAUGUGUACGUGCGUUCGUUUUCAUAAAGUAGAAUCACAUAGAUAACUUUUUAGUUUUUCUGCUCAUUAUCAUUAUAGAUUUUAAUUAAUCACCUAGUUUUCUCAACCUUAAACUGUAUCUAUUGACAGUCCACUAAAGAAGGUGAAGAAAUUAAAUGAUAUUUGCAGUGUAAGUUUUAUAACUGGUUUUUGUUUGUAUUUGUAAUGGAAUUACUUGUUACUACACUUCCCUCCCCCGUGCCACAGGAUUGGGGUGGUUAUAUUGCUGUGUCGGUUAGUGGGCUGGCCACUGGCUUCCCAAGAGUAGCUCUACCUUGAAUGGCGAUUGAUAUUUUUGUCUAUAUUAGUGAGUAAAACAAUGAGGGAAAAACACUGCACUCCUUCUACCUGCUUUCCUUAUGCGCAAACCAGGCAAACAGGAUGUGGUGACUGGGGUAUGGGGCAGAGUUGAAGACCUGAGGGGCAGAAGGAUGGCCUGAACCAAGAGCCGGUUAUAAGAAGUGGAACAGAUUUGACUGAGGAAGGAGGCUGACGGAAAGAAGCUUCGAACAGCUGGACUUUAAGGUAUACAUUUUAAAGGUGUAGUCGGCGCGGGAAAUACAGAUCUGGAACUCAAGAGAUAUGUCAAAGCUAAGAGUAUAAAUUUAGAAAUCAUUUAUUUAAUCAUUAGAGUAAUAUUUACUGAAGCCCUGCAGUGUCCUAGGUGGACACACUUUUAAGCAACAGGGAUGCAACAAUGAGCAAAUAAAUCCCUAACCUCAUGCUUCCAUUCUAGUGGAGGAAGCCACACAAUAAAUAGACAAGUGAUAUAUAAAUUCAGGUAAUGAAUCAGGUAAAGAUAAAAACACAGUUUCCAGCCAGUCAACCCUGAAUCCUGGUGAUCCCAUGUGUGUCGGAGUAGAACUGUGAUCCACAGGGUUUUCAGUGGUUGAUUUUCCAGAAUUAGAUCACCAGGCCUUUCUUCUGAGGUACCUCCGGGUGGACUCAAGUCUCCAGCCUUUCGGUUAGCAGCUGAGGGUGUUAGCAGUUUGGACCACCCAGGGAUUCCCAAGUAGGGAUAACACACUACUGACAAAGGAGGAAGGCUGGGCAUGAUAACAAAGUAAAGGAGAAAGGCUGGCUAUAGAGCUCCUUCCUGCGAUGCGAUAUUUGAGCAGAGACAGGAGUGAAAUGCAGGAAGAUGAGAUUAUAUGAGAAGAAAAGAGGACCAGAGCAACUGGUGCAGUCUACGCUUUCACCAUCUUUGACCUGGAUUAGUACAACCACCUCCUAUUUGGUAUCCUUCCUCUAGUUUCUCUCUUCUCCAGUCCAUUCCCCAAUCCAGCACAAAAUCAGAUUUGGAAUUGGUGUCUGUUUUGUUUACUGCUGGAUCUCAGGGCCUGGAAGAGGAUCUGACACAGAACAAGUGGUCAGUAAAUAUGAAUGCAUGGCGAAAGGAAGGAAGGAAUAGCUAGAAAUUACCGAAAAGGAAAUAAGCUCAAACAUUAUUCAUAGUUCUAACGCCCCAAUACAAGCAAAUUUUUGGACACUGCCAUUAAUAUAAGGCUGUUUCCUAUGAUUGCAAUUAGCCUGUAGGUACAAUUGGAAAUCCUGAUUUUCCUGUGUAUCAUUUCAUAGGAUUUUUCAACAUUAUCAUGAAAUAAGAUUGUUUCUAAUAGCUGUAUGAUAUUCCAUGGAGAAGGCAUAUUCUAGGUCACUAAUCCUAUUGCUAUUCAUGUGGAUAUUUUAAUUUUUCAAAACUAUACACACUUCAGUAAUUUGUGCAGGACAUCUAUGAUCACAAUGCUGAGGAGAAAUGUUGGGAAAAUGACGUGCUCCAGGGAAUGUUUAGCUGAGCCUUUGGCUCAUCAAGUGCAGGACAGAAAGAGUCAAAAUUUAGUCCCUUCCUUUACAGUGAGUCCAAAGUCAAUAAGAAAUGGGGAGUCCUGGGACCACCCUUCGAGCUUAGUUCACAGAGAUGGGCAAAUGACAUGGUUUUAUGAAACAUUUGAGACUCCACAGGACAGGGCAGAACACGAUUCUACCCUCUCUCAACACCCCUGCUUUAACCUGCCCUGGAGGCCGUUUCACCCCCUCUUCCCGAGUGGAGUGCUGGGCAUGGUUCCCAGCUUCCCAGUUACUCUUAGAUGAUAAACAAUCAUUGUCCAGUCACCUUCGGUCACUAAAGGAGACUCAGUCAAGUCACUGAAAAUCCUGUGCAGGCAAAUAGUCAACACUCCAGUCUAGUCCAACGUAAAAAUUCUUAAAUAGCAACUGGGCUACCUUCAUUCUUGUCAGUUCUCAGCCACACACAUCGUGUCAACUCAGUCUGGAGGCACAGAAGAAAGCUGAGAACUUCUUCCCCCGAAGCAAAGCUCAGGGACUCUUACGGAAUGGAACAGAUCUAAUAGCAUGUCUUUCAUCAGAGGCGAUCAGUCAAUUAGCAUGUGGAGAAUGCUUACCAGCUAUGUAACGGACAAAAUUACAACAAAUGAUUACUCCUUUUUUAUUUUUUAAAUGAGUCAGUGCAAUCGUUUUGCUUUAAAACUAAAAAUGUGAUGAUAUUGUGUGUGUGCAAUUCAGUUAAAUCCUAAAGAAUGAGUAAAAACCAUAAGCCAAACUGAGACAGGGGAAGAUUUUUAAGGCAGAGGAAACAAUCCCUGCAAAAUCAUGAAGUCAAAAAAUUGCACCAUGGUUAAGGAACUUCCAGUAGUUUCAUAUGAUAAAAAUGGAGGGUAGAAUUCAUGUAAGAGUGUAGAAAAAGAUGUCACUGGAGAAGUUUGCAGGAAUAUGGUCAUGAGUUCUCCUUUUGUCACAUGAAGGAAAUGAGGAGCCAUGUCAGAUUUUAGGCAAGAUUACUAGGUAAUCGUAAUUGCAUUUACGCUUCCUCAGGCAGCAACACUGAGGAUGAAUUGGAAGGAGACGAGACUUAAAAUAGGAACAAAACAAAACAAAAAAUGGUUAUCAGUGAAAUUAAGUAGGAUUUAACAACUUGAACUUCCUCGAAAGAAUGGCCUAGCAAUCUACUUCUAAAAGAUCCUAGCUACUGAAAACUCUAUGGGGCACAAUUCUACUCUUGACACAUAUGGGAGUGCCAUGAGUCAGAAUCAAUUCAGUGGAAACAAGGCCAUGGUUGACUUAGUUCUGUGCUCCAGAACCUUCAAGAAUUCCCCAAUGAGUGUAGGAUCAAGUUCAAGUCCCAUGACAAUUUAGCCCCUGUCAACCUUCUCAGAUUCAUCUGCAGCCACCCCACCACCCAUACAUAAUACCUGCUAUCUCCACAAUGGAGUGAUAAUAAUAUGUAACAUUCAUUGAGUACUUAACCAUGUUCCAGGCAUCUACUAAAAGCCUUAUGGAAUUUAGCUCAUUUUAUCUUCCCAACAACCCCAUGAGGUAUACAAGCCCUCAAUUUUCAGAUAAGAAAAAUGAGACUAAACAGCUUCCCUACAGUCACACAGCUAUAAAUGGGAGAGCCAGGAUUUGAACCAAGGUAGUCCAACAACAGGGCCCAAGCAUUUAAAUAGUAAAAUGUACUACUUAUAUUGCCUAGAUAUCCCCAUGUACUACACCUGAGUUGUCACCACCUGCCUCUCCAUCUAAUAAACUCCUAAGUCCUAGUUCAAGAGUUACCCUUCUCUCAGCCCUCCCAACUCUUCCAGGCUAUUGCUUUGCAUAUAACUUGUUUGCACAUUGUUAUUAUAGCAUGUAUCACAUUUUUGGGGGAAAAA